rnacentral:sRNA from 1 species
CUUGAGAAAUUAGUACUAUAGAAUGUUUCUUUAAUGCUGUUUAAUAGAGGAGGUCCUCCGACAAACAGCAGAGAAUUGUUUAAUCGUAGACAUUCUAGUUUGAGAUCUGUAAUCGAAAGAACAUUUGGUGUGUGGAAAGCUAAAUGGAGAAUACUUGAUAGGAAGCACCCAAAGUAUGAAGUGAAGAAGUGGAUUAAGAUUGUGACAUCAACGAUGGCUUUACAUAAUUAUAUACGAGAUUCACAACAAGAAGAUAGUGAUUUUAGGCAUUGGGAAAUAGUUGAAUCAUAUGAGCAACAUGGUGAUGAAAAUGAUGCGCAUGUUCCAUAUGUGCCUACUGGUGACAGAGUAAUGGAGAAUAUACGAGAUUCCAUCACUACAGAGAUGGCCAAAGGAACAAGACUCCCAUAUUAACAGGUUCCAUCUCUCUGUCUUAUGCUAUUGACUGUCUCUGUCUUAUGCUAUUGUCUGUCUCUGUCUUGGUUUUAAAUUUUGUGACUAGUAGUGACAGCUGAAUGGUCACGUCACUACAUAAGUUGGUUGAUUACACACGUUUUAAAUUUUGUGACUAGUAGUGACAGCUGACAAGUAAUUCGUUGAACAUAGUGUUCAUUAGUUUGGAUUAGACUUGAUUCAAUUGAAUAGCUUGACAUAAUGACAGCUGAGUGGUCUAUGUUUCUGGUUUUAGCUCAUUGUUGAAUAGUCUCUCUCUCAAUCUAGUUGUUGUAUUCUUGAGCAGCUGCAAUUCUAGUGUCUCUUGAUGUUGUUUGCUUUAGUGUUGUGGUUUGGUAAUAUGCAUAAGACCA